rnacentral:rRNA from 1 species
GUCCCGCCGGACCUGACUGCUAUCGGAUUGAUACUAAGCCAUGCGAGUCAUUGUAGCAAUACAAGGCAGACGGCUCAGUAACGCGUAGUCAACCUAACCUAUGGACGGGAAUAACCUCGGGAAACUGAGAAUAAUGCCCGAUAGAACACUAUGCCUGGAAUGGUUUGUGUUCCAAAUGAUUUAUCGCCGUAGGAUGGGACUGCGGCCUAUCAGUUUGUUGGUGAGGUAAUGGCCCACCAAGACUAUUACAGGUACGGGCUCUGAGAGGAGUAGCCCGGAGAUGGGUACUGAGACACGGACCCAGGCCCUAUGGGGCGCAGCAGGCGAGAAAACUUUGCAAUGUGCGAAAGCACGACAAGGUUAAUCCGAGUGGUUUCUGCUAAAGGAACCUUUUGUCGGUCCUAGAAACACCGAUGAAUAAGGGGUGGGCAAGUUCUGGUGUCAGCCGCCGCGGUAAAACCAGCACCUCAAGUGGUCAGGAUGAUUAUUGGGCCUAAAGCAUCCGUAGCCUGCUUUGUUAGUUUUCGGUUAAAUCUAUGCGCUCAACGUAUAGGCUGCCGGGAAUACUGCAGAGCUAGGGAGUGGGAGAGGUAGACGGUACUCGGUAGGAAGGGGUAAAAUCCUUUGAUCUAUUGAUGACCACCUGUGGCGAAGGCGGUCUACCAGAACACGUCCGACGGUGAGGGAUGAAAGCUGGGGGAGCAAACCGGAUUAGAUACCCGGGUAGUCCCAGCCGUAAACCAUGCAAACUCAGUGAUGCAUUGGCUUGUGGCCAAUGCAGUGCUGCAGGGAAGCCGUUAAGUUUGCCGCCUUGAAGUACGUACGCAAGUAUGAAACUUAAAGGAAUUGGCGGGGGAGCACCACAAGGGGUGAA